GCCAGCCUUGCCCUAACUACUUUACCUGCCUGCCUGCCAUCUUACCCACCUGCCCACAGAGCAAGAUGCGCAGCGAUGUGUUCAUGACCGUGCUGGUGCUGGUGGUCCUUGCUGGCCUCCUCACCCAGGGGCAGCAGCUUCAUGUCCCUGAACGUGAGUGGCCUCCCUGGCGGCACGCAUCCUGAAGGUGGUCCACGCUCCGCAGGACGCCGCCGCAGGUCUCCCUUACAAACGCAACUCUGAACUCAUCAACUCGCUGCUCGGCAUCUCUGCCCUCAUGAAAGAGGCCGGCAGGCGGUGAUGGGCACGCCCUUCGCACCCUUCCCUGCUGCAGGCUGUGGCUGAGGCAGCCCGCCGCCGCCCAGCAGCGGGCAUGUGUCAUGCACUACACCUGUC
rnacentral:lncRNA from 1 species